UUUUACCUGGCCCUCCAACACUGGGAGGGAUAUCGAACCCAACUGGACAGGAACCUAUCUGAUGUUACUUGGCCGUAGACCUGAUCCAAGUAAGGACAAUCACUCUCGUCAGUUGUUGGCCAGACCGGCCCCCACUGACCGCUACAGCUGUAACCAAGGUAAUCCUGAUUUUAACCCGUCAAUCUUCACAGCAAGGUAAUCCUGACUUGAACCCGUCAAUCUUCACAGCAUGGUAAUCCUGACUUUUACCCGUCGCUCUUUACAGCAAGCAAGGUAAUCCUGACUUGAACCCGUCAAUCUUCACAGCAAGGUAAUCCUGACUUGAACCCGUCAAUCUUCACAGCAAGGGAACACGUUCCAGAACAUCAGGGAACACGUUCCAGAACAUCAGGGAACACGUUCCAGAACAUCAGGGAACACGUUCCAGAACAUCAGGGAACACGUUCCAGAACAUCAGGGAACACGUUCCAGAACAUCAGGGAACACGUUCCAGAACAUCAGGGAACACGUUCCAGAACAUCAAGGAGAAGCGUUCAAGCUAUUGGCAGAGUAAUUCUUCAAGAGGUUAAACACAAGUCCUAAUGGCUCAAUUACAGUGACUACAGUCAGUGGAAUCUAUGGAUGGCUUCUACUAAUAAGGAUGUUGGUGGGCGGAGCCGGGAGGGUCGUCAGGGACAUGGGACACACCUGGGCCCGGGUGUGUCCCGGGAUAAAUACACCUCUUCCUCAUUCAUUAAGGACACUCUCUCCAUGCAGACACACUGAUAGAGUUUGGUUGUGGCAUUUUAGUGGCUGUUUUGUUUGUUUGUUUGUUUGUUUGUUUGUUUGUUUGUUUGUUUGCUUGUUUGAUUUGGCACCUUUCAACACUCCUUAUUAUCACAUUUAUGAACGCAAACACUCACUUACACUACUGAUU